rnacentral:lncRNA from 10 species
AUUAGACACAGCUGAAUGAAUCAAUGAACUGGAAGAUAGAGCUGAAAAAAGAAAAGCACCUGGAAUGUAGCACAAGGAGACAAAGAUAUGAAAAAUAUGAAAGAGCAGUUAAGAUGUGUGGGAGAUAAAAUAAGGUUUGACAUAGGUCAAAUUAGAGUCCCAGAAGAAGUGAAUAUGAUAAUGGAGAAGAGAAAAUAUUUGAGAAAAUGAGAAUUUUCCAGAACUAAUAAAAGACAUAAAUCCACAAAUAGAGAAAGCAUAACAUACACCAAACAGGAAAAAUAUAAAGCACAGCACACCCAAAUCACAUUGCACUAAAAUGUCAAAAGGACAAGAAAGAGGUAGAGAAGACCUUAAAAGCAGCCAGAGAGAAAAGACAGAUCACCUACUGAGCAAGGACAGACUAUCAGAAGACAUCUUAACAGCAAAAACCAGAUGUUGUAUGAAAUGUUUAAAUGCUAUUAAGAAAAAAAAAAAACAGAAAUGAAGCCCUUCUGUGCACCCAGAUAAAAAAUUAUUUUCAAAACUGUGGACAAAAUAUGAAUAUAUUCAGAUACAGAGGGAAUUUACCAAAAACCCUUCACUAAGAUAGCUUCUAAAGAAUAUUCUUCAAGAAGAGGAAGAAAACUAUAAAUAUCUGUAGGCCAAUAAAUUAGAAAACUUAGAUAAACUGAA